ACCUAGCUGACGAGUCUCAAAUAGGACGAGACGCGCAUCGUAGAU
rnacentral:hammerhead_ribozyme from 1 species